UACAGAGGUCCCAAGCGUUGUUCGGAUUCACUGGGCGUAAAGGGUGCGUAGGUGGUGGGGUAAGUUUGAUGUGAAAGCUCCGAGCUUAACUCGGAAAUGGCAUUGAAUACUAUCCUGCUCGAGGUUUGGAGGGGGGACUGGAAUUCUCGGUGUAGCAGUGAAAUGCGUAGAUAUCGAGAGGAACACCAGUGGCGAAGGCGAGUCCCUGGACAACACCUGACACUGAGGCACGAAAGCUAGGGGAGCAAACAGG
rnacentral:rRNA from 1 species